CCUGGGCUUUGUCACGCAGGGGGA
rnacentral:piRNA from 1 species